CUCAGGGAGGUAGUGACAAGAAAUAACAACACCGGAAAUUUUAUUUCUAGUGAUUGGAAUGAUGGGAAUUUAAACCCCUUUCAGAGUAACAAUUGGAGGGCAAGUCUGGUGCCAGCAGCCGCGGUAAUUCCAGCUCCAAUAGCGUAUAUUAAAGUUGUUGCAGUUAAAAAGCUCGUAGUUGGAUGUCUGCUGGAAGCAAUCAGUCCGCCCUAUUUGUAGGGUGUGCACUUGAUGAAUUCUGGCAUCUAUGUCCUAAUGUGAUAGAUACGGCGGUGUAUAUGGGUUAAUCCUAUAUACCCGUUUUUGUAUAUUAUAUUGGGAUAAUACCGUUACUUUGAGAAAAUUAGAGUGUUUGAAGCAGGCUAAUUGCCUUGAAUACUGCAGCAUGGAAUAACAAUAUAGGAUUUCGGUUCUAUUUUGUUGGUUUCUAGGACUGAAAUAAUGAUUAAUAGGGACAGUUGGGGGCAUUCGUAUUUAACUGUCAGAGGUGAAAUUCUUAGAUUUGUUAAAGACGAACUACUGCGAAAGCAUUUGCCAAAGAUGUUUUCAUUAAUCAAGAACGAAAGUUAGGGGCUCGAAGACGAUCAGAUACCGUCGUAGUCUUAACCAUAAACUAUGCCGACUAGAGAUAGGAAAAUGUCAUUUUUCUGACUU
rnacentral:rRNA from 1 species